GCCAAGUUAGGUCUGCUUUUCUAUUUUGAUUCAGAAGAAAAAAGAAAGAAAAACAUGAGGGGACACAUAUUCCAGUAGAGGUUCACCAUCUCAAAUAUAAAAAAGCAAAUGCUGGAGAAAGUGAGGAGAAAUAAAGAGAGGGUUGAAUGCCUUGUGAAGGUUUGAUGAAAGCAAGUCACUUAGAAAUGCUAUCAGAUUAAGUACAGGAAGACGUUUAUAUUUCUGAGAAUUAAAACAUCAAAAGCAGCCAUUAAUGUGAUGUUUCCUUAAAUUCACAAAAGAAGAAUCAAAUAAUGUUUAUAUGAGGGGGUACUGAAAAAUGUGUACAAAGUAUUCUUGGAGCACAAAUGAGAGACUUCAACUCUUUCUCAAACAUCAGUGAUGAUUUUACAGAGAAGACAUUUGUGUUGCAUUAAAAGAAGGAAUUUACAAAGUAGAGAAGAGGUGAAAGCAAGAAGGGUGAUGUGGAAGAGCCAACUGAGGAAGGACAGAGGUCUCAGCGUGGAAGGAGUACAGGAAAUGAUGAAGAUAUAGCGGGUACAUGUGCAGGUUUGUUACAUGGGAAUAUUGCAUGAUGCUGAAGUUUGGAAUAUGUAUCCCAUCACCCAAUUGGUGAGCUUAGUACAUGAUGCUGCACUACUUGUUACCGUGGCCUAUUGUAUAAUUACAUUGGAACCUUUUUGAUACCUAUUCAAGUGAGUAUUUCCCUCUUGUUGCCUGAAAUUUCUUUUCUGCACUAGGUAAAUGAGCCAAUAAAGUAUUUCUUAAAACAUUGCCGUUACCAUGGAAAUAAGGGUUUCACAUUACUCUUGUCUAUGUAUGUUGACUUUAUUUUGGGUCAUGUAGUUGGGAGAUAGCUCUCAGAGUUUCAUGGUAUCCUAAAAGCAUUUUGUGAUUUUAUGGAGAUCUUUUCUUGAACUACUUUUUUAUUGAAAAACAUACUGUUUCCUAGAAGACCGGUGAGAGCAUUUGAAUUAUAAUCCAAAUAUUUUCCUGGCUUUCAUUGAAAUACAGUCUUGACUUAGGAAAAGCUUCUUAUUUUGCUAUACAUUUAGAAAGCAUGCAACAUAUUUUCUAUACAGUCAACACAAUCUUUGAGGCCAUCUGCAGUUUAUAACAAAUUUAUGAUAUAGUAGCUUAAAUUGAUGAGAUAAUGAGCUGCUGACAGACAUGUUUUUCUAAAUUGAUAUUUGAGGAUGGUGCAGCCAAAAUACUUGGCAUGAAAUAGCAAAGGAAAUGAGAGUUGUGUAUCUACAGAACUCAACUCUAUACUGCCACACAAGCUAAAAAGACUUAAAAUCUAAAAUUUUACUAGUACUCUUCAGUUCUAUCCUAUACUCUUUGAUUAAAUAUUGCCUUAACUUAGAAAGACUAUAGUAUUUUUUUCUCUUUUAUCUGUACAGAUACAGACAUGCCAAUUAUUGGCAAAUCCUGUUAA
rnacentral:lncRNA from 1 species